rnacentral:rRNA from 1 species
GGUUAAGCGACUAAGCGUACACGGUGGAUGCCCUGGCAGUCAGAGGCGAUGAAGGACGUGCUAAUCUGCGAUAAGCGCCGGUAAGGUGAUAUGAACCGUUAUAACCGGCGAUUUCCGAAUGGGGAAACCCAGUGUGAUUCGUCACACUAUCAUUAACUGAAUCCAUAGGUUAAUGAGGCGAACCGGGGGAACUGAAACAUCUAAGUACCCCGAGGAAAAGAAAUCAACCGAGAUUCCCCCAGUAGCGGCGAGCGAACGGGGAGGAGCCCAGAGCCUGAAUCAGCAUGUGUGUUAGUGGAAGCGUCUGGAAAGACGCGCGAUACAGGGUGACAGCCCCGUACACAAAAGCGCAUGUGCUGUGAGCUCGAUGAGUAGGGCGGGACACGUGGUAUCCUGUCUGAAUAUGGGGGGACCAUCCUCCAAGGCUAAAUACUCCUGACUGACCGAUAGUGAACCAGUACCGUGAGGGAAAGGCGAAAAGAACCCCGGCGAGGGGAGUGAAAAAGAACCUGAAACCGUGUACGUACAAGCAGUGGGAGCACCCUUUGGGGUGUGACUGCGUACCUUUUGUAUAAUGGGUCAGCGACUUAUAUUCUGUAGCAAGGUUAACCGAAUAGGGGAGCCGGAGGGAAACCGAGUCUUAA